GACGAACGCUGGCGGCGUGCCUAAUACAUGCAAGUCGAACGAGAGCGACCGGUGCUUGCACUGGUCAAUCUAGUGGCGAACGGGUGAGUAACACGUGGGUAACCUGCCCAUCAGAGGGGGAUAACAUCCGGAAACGGAUGCUAAAACCGCAUAGGUCUUCGAACCGCAUGGUUUGAAGAGGAAAAGAGGCGCAAGCUUCUGCUGAUGGGUGGACCCGCGGUGCAUUAGCCAGUUGGUGAGGUAACGGCUCACCAAGGCCGUGAUGCAUAGCCGACCUGAGAGGGUGAUCGGCCACAUUGGGACUGAGACACGGCCCAAACUCCUACGGGAGGCAGCAGUAGGGAAUCUUCCGCAAUGGACGCAAGUCUGACGGAGCAACGCCGCGUGAGUGAAGAAGGUUUUCGGAUCGUAAAACUCUGUUGUUAGAGAAGAACAAGUGCUAGAGUAACUGUUAGCGCCUUGACGGUAUCUAACCAGAAAGCCACGGCUAACUACGUG
rnacentral:rRNA from 1 species